UACGUAGGGUGCGAGCGUUGUCCGGAAUUAUUGGGCGUAAAGGGCUCGUAGGCGGUUUGUCGCGUCGGGAGUGAAAACAUCUGGCUUGACUGGGUGCUUGCUUUCGAUACGGGCAGACUGGAGGUAUGCAGGGGAGAACGGAAUUCCUGGUGUAGCGGUGAAAUGCGCAGAUAUCAGGAGGAACACCGGUGGCGAAGGCGGUUCUCUGGGCAUGACCUGACGCUGAGGAGCGAAAGUGUGGGGAGCGAACAGG
rnacentral:rRNA from 1 species